GCCUCCAUAGCUUAAUUGGCUAAAGCAAUCGGCUCUUAACCGAUGGAGUGUAGGUUCGAUUCCUACUGGAGGCA
rnacentral:tRNA from 1 species